ensembl:snoRNA
UAGUAAACCAAUUAAUCUGCUUAGCUGAAUGCGUUUCUGCAGAAAUUUAGAAACAGGUGGCAAUAGUGAUGCCAUUUUAUGAGCCUUAAGGACAACUGACGUCAUUAUGGUCCCACAAAAUGGCUACAAUA